rnacentral:misc_RNA from 1 species
GGAUAUGUAUAAAAUUAACUUCUUUCCUUCUUAAUCUAAUACAGGUUGUUCAGAGGGAGAGGGAAGAAAAGCUUGCUGAAACUUUGAAGGACCGGCUCAAUGUAUAUGUACAAGGAAAUAAAGAGGACUUUGUUCGUCAUGCAGAAGCUGAGGUGUCGAGGCUUUCAAAUGCAGCUUAUGGUGUUGAUAUGUUAAACACAAUUGGGUACAUAUAUGCAAGACAGUCAGCGAAAGAGCUUGGAAAGAAGGCAUUAUAUUUGGGUGUGCCUUUUAUUGCUGAGUGGUUCAGAAACAAAGGCCAUUUUAUCAAAUCCCAAGUAACUGCUGCAACAGGUGCAAUUGCUUUGAUUCAGCUGCAAGAGGACAUGAAAAGGCAGCUCAGUGCAGAAGGAAAUUACACUGAGGAAGAACUUGAAGAGUACAUGCAAUCCCACAAAAAGCUAAUGAUUGAUUCUCUCUGGAAGCUUAAUGUAGCAGAUAUUGAAGCCACUCUUUCUCGUGUUUGUCAAAUGGUUCUACAAGACAACAACGUAAAGAAAGAAGAGCUUCGUGCCCGCGCAAAGGGGUUAAAGACUCUCGGCAAAAUUUUUCAGAAGGUUAAGCCAGUCAAUGAAGUCGAAACUACAGAAAAUGGCGUCCAUAAGCUGGACGGAAAUGAACCAAGCUAUGACUCUCGUUCUUCAACUGCAUCAGUACCAUCUCAAAACAAAGAAGAGGUGCCUUAUACAGUAUUUGCAUCACAGAGCCCAUACGUGGAGGCUCCACAGUUUACCGGUGGUCAAUCCAGCUAUAACUUCCCCAUGCCGACUGCACCACCAGGUGCGCAGAGACACAGGUAGACAGACAAAUGGUGGACGCCGCAAGAAUUUGUGUAGCUUGUGAAUUUGUAGUGAGUUUGAGUUUCUUAUGUAUCCCUAGUGUGCUAUAUUUAAAGCAUAAUUCUUGCUUAGCAGAGAAAAGCUUCUGUCAUAUUGCUUUUUAUGAAGGACUGCUUUGUAAUUAAUAUAGUUAUUAGAGUGUAAGUUGUGUGGCCUGUGAAUGCAAAAUAUUGUAUAUUGCAUUGGUCUAUUCUUCUUGUUUGUUGUAUUAACCAAUUUAAUGUUUUUGUUAUUGACCUAUUUU